rnacentral:rRNA from 1 species
UACGUAGGGUGCAGGCGUUAAUCGGAAUUACUGGGCGUAAAGCGUGCGCAGGCGGUUUGCUAAGACAGGUGUGAAAUCCCCGGGCUUAACCUGGGAACUGCGCUUGUUACUGGCAAGCUGGAGUGUGGCAGAGGGGGGUGGAAUUCCACGUGUAGCAGUGAAAUGCGUAGAGAUGCGGAGGAACACCGAUGGCGAAGGCAGCCCCCUGGGCUAACACUGACGCUCAUGCACGAAAGCGUGGGGAGCGAACAGG